UACGUAGGGUCCGAGCGUUGUCCGGAAUUAUUGGGCGUAAAGAGCUCGUAGGCGGUCUGUUGCGUCGGCUGUGAAAACCCGUGGCUCAACCAUGUGGUCUGCAGUCGAUACGGGCAGGCUAGAUUUCGGUAGGGGAGACUGGAAUUCCUGGUGUAGCGGUGAAAUGCGCAGAUAUCAGGAGGAACACCGGUGGCGAAGGCGGGUCUCUGGGCCGAUAUUGACGCUGAGGAGCGAAAGCGUGGGGAGCGAACAGA
rnacentral:rRNA from 1 species